CUGGAAGACCACCGCAGCUGCCAAGAUCUUGCUCACUUGGUCGACACAAGUUGUUCCGCAAUCUCGUGCCACGUAGAACCCAAGAUCUCUGUCAACUUUACUGAAAUUUACUCUUGAGUUAACAGAUGCCAUCAAGAAAUGCUCAAGGUCUAAGAACAGCAAGAUAUUCCAAGUUCUUACCAAGAAUGUGUACAAGCAUUGAUUUAUACUUUUCAAACUGUAACAGCUAUGGCCUGUAUAUUCUACCUAUGUGUAGUGAAGACAAAUGUAUGAUGUAUAGACUUACAUGUUGUUGCUCAUGUAGAUAGUCUGGCAUUUUUACUUUUCUAAAAAUUUUAUAGCACGUAUAUAUUGCAGCUAGAUACUAAUAGUGAAGUUUUAGCGUUAAAUUAUUAAA